CCUACGGGUGGCAGCAGUGGGGAAUAUUGCACAAUGGGGGAAACCCUGAUGCAGCGACGCCGCGUGAAGGAAGAAGUAUUUCGGUAUGUAAACUUCUAUCAGCAGGGAAGAAAAUGACGGUACCUGACUAAGAAGCCCCGGCUAACUACGUGCCAGCAGCCGCGGUAAUAAGUAGGGGGCAAGCGUUAUCCGGAUUUACUGGGUGUAAAGGGGGCGUAGGAGGCGAUGCAAGUCAGAAGUGAAAGCCCGGGGCUCAACUCCGGGACUGCUUUUGAAACUGGAUGGCUAGAUUGAAGGAGAGGCAAGUGGAAUUUCUAGUGUAGCGGUGAAAUGCGUAGAUAUUAGGAGGAACACCAGUGGCGAAGGCGGCUUGCUGGACUGUAAAUGACGCUGAGGCUCGAAAGCGUGGGGAGCAAACAGGAUUAGAUACCCGGGUAGUC
rnacentral:rRNA from 1 species